ensembl:lncRNA
CCCGGCCACCAGCCGGGCACCCCCACGCAGCUGCCCCGGCGUGCGGGGAUGCGGCACCCGAGGGGCCGUGCCGGGACCCCCAGCACCCCCGGCCGGAUCCUGGCGUCGGGCAGCAGCCGCAGGGCCCUGCCCCGGGCUGGGUGCCCGCGGGGAGGAGCGGGGAGCCCCGCGCCAGGCGCACGCAGCAACAUCUGCAAGCGUUUACCCAGGCAGCCCGGGCCAGGUCCUGCCAGAAAUAGCUCUCGGCGAGCUCUCCCGUGCCAGCAAGUGAUGUCAUUUGCUUUUAUUUCCCUCCCGCCCGCUCCUUCCCACUGGAGCCCACCGUACACUUGUCAGCCCCGCGCCGCGCCAGGGCUUUUGCUGCCCACGCUGACGCAGCCUCGGUGCUGCCAGACGGUGCCGGCCCCUCGUGCGGACGCGCGCGGCCGAUGCUGCCCGCAGCGGGACCAGCCCUGCUCCUUCCCCCGGCAGCGUGGGCGCUGUGGAUGCGGGCAAAUGUUGGAAAUCCAGGCUGACGGCUCCUCCGUGGCGUCAGGGAGCAAUGGAGGGGGGUCCUGGGGCCCCACGGAGCUCUACGGGGUGGGGGUACCCUGGCUGCUGCAGGGUUUGGUCGGGGAAUCCGAUGGCUUUGCAGCCCAGCACGGUCCCACAGCCCCGGCUGCUCUUAGCCCGGGGUUCACUUGGCCCCCGCUGCGCAGGCACAGGCACAGCCCGGGCUCGGAGGCGGCCAGCUGGCUGCGGCCCCUCGGCUCGCUCCAGCACAAGCACAUGCCUCCGGAGCGACGUCUCCGCGCCGCGAGCCGCCAGCGCGGCCUCUCAGGGCUUGUCUCCAUCCCUGCCGCUGCCUCCCCGCCAGCUCCGGGCCGCCAGCCAGCACCGGCGGCUCCCAGGGCCAGGAAGAAGCCUCUCCCCUGGGCUGGGGGCCGCGGGGGUGCGGGCGUCCCGAGGUGCCUCUGCUGGUGGCAAAGCUCCCGCAGCAGGCGCAGCCCAGCCCUGCUGCGUGCGCGGGGCUCCAGCACGAAGGGGACCACCGGGCACCGCAUCCCUCCCGCCCCAGUGGCUUCUCGUUGCUGCAGGUCACUGUUACUGCCGGACCUCGUCCUCGUGCACAACCCGCUGGUGCCAGGGAAGGUGGCGAUGCACCCAGAGGGGCUGGGGGCACGGCAGAGCGCAGGCAGCACUGCCAGAGGAGGAGCGAGCAGGGGCCGGCACGGCCCGAGCACGGCGCCGGGCGUCUGCCAGCACAGCCGCCCCCGCUGCCGCUCGGAAGCGGAGCUUCGUGCGGAGGUUUGCUGCCAUUUCGCGGAAAAAUGGGUGGAGCGAAACGAAUCCUCCUCGUACGGCUCAGCCGGGCAGACCUGACUGCCUCUUCUUUUCCCCAAUUUCCAGCUCCUCUUCUCAGUGCUGCCUCCCCCAGCAGAGGGGGGGUGCUUGGAGGUGCUGCGCACCCACACCCGCAGGACUCAGUGCCAGCCCUGUCCCCUGCCUGGCACGGGGUGUCACCGGGGGCCUCAGUGUCACCCAGCAGGAUGUGAUCAGACCCACACCGUCCAUGCCAGAGCAGGAUUUCUGCCCCACAGUAGCACGGCGGGAGGGGACUUGGGGGUCUCCUCGCCCUGAACACAGCUGCUGGGGAGCAUCCCCUUGGAUGCAUGGGGGGGCAAAGCCCGCAGCCCCUCCGUCAUUCACCUGUGCUCCCCCCGGGACGUGCUGGCUGUAUCCACCUCUCCCCUUGUCCUCUUCCCCUGCAGGAACACAUGGCAUCACGUCCUCAAAUAAUUGCACAAUUAUGGGCUAAUGAGUGCAAUUAGGUGAGCAGCGCUCCUGUGAGUGCGCGCCAGACCCGUGCCCGGAGCCACGUCUCCUCCAGCCCCUCG